GGGGCUUUUCUUUCUCUCCACUGUAAAGUGGAGGAGAGGCUCAGCACUGGAGCAGAGCCAAAGUGGAUGGGCUAAAUAUAGCUCAGAGCCAGGGAAAGGAAUCCCAGGCAAAAUUGGAGACGGACCGAAGAGAGAGGCCCAGAGGAUGUCUCUGCCGUGAUUUAAACGCAGGACAGCCAAAAACCCGAAGGAGGAAUCAACAUUCCAGGACGCGUACAUUGAUAAGCUACACUACAGCAGCCUACGAAUCGAGGUAUGAGACUGAGAAAGAGAGGUCACACAGCAGACCGAGGAGAAAGGACUCAAAGCUGUCUUCUUGGACUUCGUGAGGAGAAAAACUGCAGCAAACAGCUUGAGGUGUGAAGUACUUCUAACCUUUCAUGUUAGAUUGUCAGUAGGAGAACACCGCAAGAAUCUGAAAUCAGCAAGAGCAUCUGAAACAAGAGAAUCCACUGAAAGACUGCACAGAAGUUUUUGCAUAGGAAGUAGCUCUCCGUAUGAUAGCUCUCAAAGUAGAAAAAUUGAGAAAGCCUGAAAUACUGUGUUUCAUCAGAGCACUGAUCAAGGAGUUAAAAGUUUCAAUGUCUUCAUCAAGGUCCAGAUGAUGGAAGAUUUAACAUGGUCCGCAGAUCUAGAGAUCAAUAUUGAUUCCUCUGAGGAAUAUGUACAAACUACAAGGAAGAAAACAAUGAACAAGCAAUUGGAUAAACUGAGUCAGAGAAAGUUCCAGGUGGACUAAAAAUGUAAGCAUCAGCAAUGUUGCAAAGAGCAUUCAGUGAAUAAAAUCCAACAGCAUGUGCUGAAUAGAACUCACACUGUGUGCAACUAUCUGUCCUGUGUACAAAAUACCAAAUGAUCGCUAUGGAAAUAAUGUGA